GACGAACGCUGGCGGCGUGCUUAACACAUGCAAGUCGAACGAUGAACGCUGGAGCUUGCUCCGGCUGGAUUAGUGGCGAACGGGUGAGUAACACGUGAGCAAUCUGCCCUUGACUCUGGGAUAACUACGAGAAAUCGGUGCUAAUACCGGAUAUGACCCUUGGCGGCAUCGCUGGGGGUGGAAAGGUUUUCGGUCAAGGAGGAGCUCGCGGCCUAUCAGCUUGUGGGGGAGGUAAGGGCUCACCAAGGCGACGAGGGGUAGCCGGCCUGAGAGGGUGACCGGCCACACUGGGACUGAGACACGGCCCAGACUCCUACGGGAGGCAGCAGUGGGGAAUAUUGCACAAUGGGCGCAAGCCUGAUGCAGCAACGCCGCGUGGGGGAUGACGGCCUUCGGGUUGUAAACCUCUUUUAGCAGGGAAGAAGCGAAAGUGACGGUACCUGCAGAAAAAGCACCGGCUAACUACGUGCCAGCAGCCGCGGUAA
rnacentral:rRNA from 1 species